rnacentral:rRNA from 1 species
GACGAACGCUGGCGGCGUGCUUAACACAUGCAAGUCGAACGGAAAGGCCCUGCUUUUGUGGGGUGCUCGAGUGGCGAACGGGUGAGUAACACGUGAGUAACCUGCCCUUGACUUUGGGAUAACUUCAGGAAACUGGGGCUAAUACCGGAUAGGAGCUCCUGCUGCAUGGUGGGGGUUGGAAAGUUUCGGCGGUUGGGGAUGGACUCGGGGCUUAUCAGCUUGUUGGUGGGGUAGUGGCUUACCAAGGCUUUGACGGGUAGCCGGCCUGAGAGGGUGACCGGGCACAUUGGGACUGAGAUACGGCGCAGACUGCUACGGGAGGCAGCGGGGGGGAAUAUUACACAAUGGGCGGAAGCGUGAUGCAGCAACGCCGCGUGCGGGAUGACGGCCUUCGGGUUGUAAACCGCAUUCGCCUGUGACGAAGCGUGAGUGACGGUAAUGGGUAAAGAAGCACCGGCUAACUACGUG